rnacentral:rRNA from 1 species
GCCUAUCAUGCAGUCGAACGGCAGCACGAGUAGCAAUACUUGGUGGCGAGUGGCGCACGGGUGCGUAACGCGUAUGCAAUCUGCCCUUGACUGGGGAAUAGCCCCGAGAAAUCGGGAUUAAUACUCCAUAACAUCAUCGAGAGGCAUCUUUUGGUGAUCAAAGUUCUGGCGGUCAAGGAUGAGCAUGCGUGACAUUAGAUAGUUGGUGGGGUAAUGGCCUACCAAGUCUACGAUGUCUAGGGGGCCUGAGAGGGUAGUCCCCCACACUGGUACUGAGACACGGACCAGACUCCUACGGGAGGCAGCAGUGAGGAAUAUUGCGCAAUGGACGAAAGUCUGACGCAGCCAUGCCGCGUGCAGGAUGACGGCCCUAUGGGUUGUAAACUGCUUUUUUAUAGGAAGAAACUCAUCUACGUGUAGGUGACUGACGGUACUAUAUGAAUAAGCAUCGGCUAACUCCGUGCCAGCAGCCGCGGUAAUACGGAGGAUGCAAGCGUUAUCCGGAUUUAUUGGGUUUAAAGGGUGCGUAGGCGGGAGAUUAAGUCAGUGGUGAAAUACUGCAGCUCAACUGUAGCACUGCCAUUGAUACUGAUUUUCUUGAGUGUGGUUGAAGUAGGCGGAAUGUGUAAUGUAGCGGUGAAAUGCUUAGAGAUUACACAGAACACCGAUUGCGUAGGCAGCUUACUAAGCCAUAACUGACGCUGAGGCACGAAAGUGUGGGGAUCGAACAGGAUUAGAUACCCUGGUAGUCCACACUGUAAACGAUGAUCACUAGCUGUUGGCGAUAA